rnacentral:rRNA from 1 species
ACGAACGCUGGCGGCGUGCCUAAUACAUGCAGGUAGAACGCUGAAGGAGGAGCUUGCUUCUCUGGAUGAGUUGCGAACGGGUGAGUAACGCGUAGGUAACCUGCCUGGUAGCGGGGGAUAACUAUUGGAAACGAUAGCUAAUACCGCAUAAUAGCAGUUGUUGCAUGACAACUGUUUGAAAGGUGCAAUUGCACCACUACCAGAUGGACCUGCGUUGUAUUAGCUAGUUGGUGGGGUAACGGCUCACCAAGGCGACGAUACAUAGCCGACCUGAGAGGGUGAUCGGCCACACUGGGACUGAGACACGGCCCAGACUCCUACGGGAGGCAGCAGUAGGGAAUCUUCGGCAAUGGACGGAAGUCUGACCGAGCAACGCCGCGUGAGUGAAGAAGGUUUUCGGAUCGUAAAGCUCUGUUGUAAGAGAAGAACGAGUGUGAGAGUGGAAAGUUCACACUGUGACGGUAUCUUACCAGAAAGGGACGGCUAACUACGUG